rnacentral:rRNA from 1 species
AUGAAUCUCCUCUGCUAGAAUUGUCGUGGUGCGGGAAAAGCCGCGAUAAUUCAAGAGCUUCGUGAUCUCGCGAAGCAAUUUGCCCCGACGGUGCUGUGUAUCGUAGAAACCCAAAUAUCAAAAGCACGUGUAGAAAAUCUCGCUGGUACUUUAGGUUUUAAUAAUUCUUAUGUUGUUAGUAGCUCCACGUUAACGAUGCCACGUCACCUCAGAUUACUGUUGAUAAUCUCGCGUUAG